CAAGAAUGUGUCCAUAGUACACGAAUGCCCCACUCGCACUAUCAUUUUAUAUGUUCAGUGGACCGUGAAAUCGGGGUCAUAACUUUAAUUUGGAAUUAAAAUUAGAAAGAUCAUAUGAUAGGGAACAUGUGUACUAAGUUUCAAGUUGAUGUAACUUUAACUUCAUCAAAAACUACCUUGACCAAAAACUUUAACCUGAACUUCGCACUAUCAUUUUCUAUGUUCAGUGGACCAUGAAAUUGGGGUCAAAACUAUAAUUUGGCAUUAAAAUUAGAAAGAUCAUAUCAUGAGGAACAAGUGUACUAAGUUUCAAGUUGAUUGGACUUCAACUUCUUCAAAAACUACCUUGACCAAAAACUUUAACCUGAAGCGGACGGACGAACGGAGGCACAGACCAGAAAACAUAAUGGCCCUCUACUAUCGUAGGUGGGGCAUAAAAA
rnacentral:lncRNA from 1 species